rnacentral:tRNA from 2 species
GCCGGUGUGACGGAACGGCAGACGUACACGACUCAAAAUCGUGCGGGAAACCAUGUGGGUUCAAAUCCCACCACCGGUACCA